UACGUAGGGUCCGAGCGUUGUCCGGAAUUACUGGGCGUAAGGAGCUCGUAGGUGGUUUGUCGCGUUGUCCGUGAAAACUCACAGCUCAACUGUGGGCGUGCGGGCGAUACGGGCAGACUGGAGUACUGCAGGGGAGACUGGAAUUCCUGGUGUAGCGGUGGAAUGCGCAGAUAUCAGGAGGAACACCGGUGGCGAAGGCGGGUCUCUGGGCCGUAACUGACGCUGAGGAGCGAAAGCGUGGGGAGCGAACAGG
rnacentral:rRNA from 1 species